AGUGAACGCUGGCGGUAGGCCUAACACAUGCAAGUCGAACGGCAGCACAGUAAGAGCUUGCUCUUACGGGUGGCGAGUGGCGGACGGGUGAGGAAUACAUCGGAAUCUACUUUUUCGUGGGGGAUAACGUAGGGAAACUUACGCUAAUACCGCAUACGACCUACGGGUGAAAGCAGGGGAUCUUCGGACCUUGCGCGAUUGAAUGCGCCGAUGUCGGAUUAGCUAGUUGGCGGGGUAAAGGCCCACCAAGGCGACGAUCCGUAGCUGGUCUGAGAGGAUGAUCAGCCACACUGGAACUGAGACACGGUCCAGACUCCUACGGGAGGCAGCAGUGGGGAAUAUUGGACAAUGGGCGCAAGCCUGAUCCAGCCAGACCGCGUGGGUGAAGAAGGCCUUCGGGUUGUAAAGCCCUUUUGUUGGGAAAGAAAAGCAGCAGGUUAAUACCCCGCUGUUCUGACGGUACCCAAAGAAUAAGCACCGGCUAACUUCGUG
rnacentral:rRNA from 1 species